UACGUAGGGUGCAAGCGUUGUCCGGAAUUAUUGGGCGUAAAGCGUCCGCAGGUGGCACUUCAAGUCUGUCGUCAAAGACUGGGGCUUAACCCUGGAAAGGCGGUGGAAACUGAAGCGCUAGAGUGCGGUAGGGGUAGAGGGAAUUCCCGGUGUAGCGGUGAAAUGCGUAGAGAUCGGGAAGAACAUCGGUGGCGAAAGCGCUCUACUGGACCGCAACUGACACUCAGGGACGAAAGCUAGGGGAGCGAAUGGG
rnacentral:rRNA from 1 species